ensembl:lncRNA
CUGUCAAUCUUAUUAAUCGCUCCCGCGUUUCCAACACGUUUUAUGGAAGCGUCUUGUUAUAGCUCAUAAGGAUGGUGUUGUGUUGUAUCGCUUGUUAUAACCUGGGAUUUCGCACAGGGGGGUAAUCAGAUGUUCAACUUGUGUUUCUAAUCGUGGCUAAUAUAUGAAAUGGGGUUUAAAAAAAAGAUUACGAUUGUUUGUUGUUUUGGUUUAUGUGAAACGUUUACGGAUUUUUGGUGAGGUCUACCUUCUUGGUUGAAAUGCCCAAUCAAAUCAACGCUAGACAACGCUAACAUUGUCCCGAGUGAGGUCCACAAACGACGACGCGUGUUUUACCACAGAGAGUAAGAUUGCGCAUAAUAAACGAAUUUGCUACCCAAAUCGGUGCACCGUUAAGGCGUUUUGAUGACCCCCCCUUUGUACUCCAGCAGCCCCUGCAGAUCGAUCCGUCUCCUCUCGGUGCGAGGCUGGCCGCGGAGGGGAGGGGCUCCCCGGUUCCCACUGGGGGCUGCGGUUUGGUCUGCUAUAGUUCAGCCUAACUUCUUAACCAUAAAGUGUUUAUAAAAAGAGCCACGUCUAGGGUUUUAUAACAUAUAACAAAAGACCACACGAAAACUAUUAUGUUAUUCGAAUUUGUUGCAGGGAAGCCUCGGUGUAAUAACAGCUUAGUUAUAGACAAUAUUAAUACUAGCAAUGCUAGUGUGGUUACAUUCUGGAUAUUAACAAAAAACGGUUUGGGAUGCACUUUUAAACAGGUUUAUAUGAACUUGAUCAUAUUUGAGAGGUAUUUCUAGUAGGUAAGGGAGCGAGACUUUCGACCCUGUGAGCAUCGGAUUACAAACUUUCUGCAACUGGCGACCUGAGUUCGAGAUUCUCCGGGCUGGAUACGGGAAUGACCGAAGUGACCCCCCCCCCCAACGGAUUCCGUCUUGUUUUUCUGGGGUGAGAGGUGGUGUCAAAGGAAGAGACUUUAUAUCACACAUUUAAACCCUCACACUGUAAGACCAAAUGUACGUUUAUAUUUUCUACAAGCGUGAUAACAAUGUCUGUGCUUCUCUUUCAAUGUUGUUUUAAAUUAAUAGCAGAGAACAAGACUCAUUUGUGGGGCAGUAUAUGACUAAAUGAGUAGGAUGGAAAAUUAUAGAUUCUACCAAAACACACACACAGUACGUCAAACAUUAACGCAUGGCAAAGACCUGCACAUUUAUUCCAGUCCCUGUUUUAAUUAAAGUGAUUUAUCAGGUUUAGCGAUGUAUAAAUUGAGUUAUGAUGUGUCUUUCCCGUGUUAUUAUUUAUUGUGUCGGCUACUUUGCUUGUAAAUGGCAUUAAUCAUGUACUCAUUAUUUAUUAUUAUGAUUAUUUAUUAUUAUUUUGAUGCAUGCUCUUCCCCUAUUAUGAUGGUGAACAGAACGCCCGUCUUUAUGAAGAAUAGAUUCGCUAUAUCGAGUACAAUUGUUUUGUGUCCUCAUUUUAUUUGUAGCAUUAUUAAUACUGAGGUCGCUGUUUCAUUUUGACCAUGUAAAUGAUCGUUCGAAACUUUUCUGUUGUCUCUUCAUUGCCGUCCUUGUAACCAUCACUACUCCGGAACACGUACAUGGUCAAAAUAAUGUCACACAAAUACCAAACGUUCAGCUCUUUGUAAAAUAAUGUUUAUAUUAGUGAGUCGCUGGAGUUACUAACUUAACAUGUUAACCACAAUGGUAAUUAAUGGGUUAUGUAGCAUGUCUAUACGUUGCGUUUGAACAUAAACUACUGCAGAUUUAAAACCUUGGCUUACACCGAUUCUGGCUUUCAUUUUGGUAUGCAUUGAAAUGUAAUAUCCUUAAUAUUCUCUCUGACAACCUUUAAUUUAUCCUGGAACUAACAUAACAUAAUUCUUCCCAGACUUAAAUAAAGCAUAGUCAUGCCAUUAAACAAGUUACGUUUGAGGCGAUGCGAUUUAACACUAUACUGUAACGCUUCUCUUUAUAAUCUCUGGAAAUCUUCAAUCGGCAAUAAAAUCGUAUGAGGUUUCCAGACACUCAUUGACAGGCCGAAUAUAAGAAUAUAUCCUAGAAUAUAAUAAGAAAGGGCUCUUACUUUGACACCAGCUAUAUCUUCAAAUCUAUCAGAUAAGACUGCAUAAUUAAAAUGCCAACUAUGAGUAUGAAGAAAGGAGGGCUUUGAUAUGUUAUAGGUAUAGUUUUAGCCUUUUUUUCCCAUGAAACUGUGCCUAAUAUGUAGACAGGAAUGAUCUGUUGCUGUAAAUUUGACAAUGCAAUUAAAGGUAAAUCCCCA